rnacentral:rRNA from 1 species
GACGAACGCUGGCGGCGUGCUUAACACAUGCAAGUCGAACGGAAAGGCCCUGCUUUUGUGGGGUGCUCGAGUGGCGAACGGGUGAGUAACACGUGAGUAACCUGCCCUUGACUUUGGGAUAACUUCAGGAAACUGGGGCUAAUACCGGAUAGGAGCUCCUGCUGCAUGGUGGGGGUUGGAAAGUUUCGGCGGUUGGGGAUGGACUCGCGGCUUAUCAGCUUGUUGGUGGGGUAGUGGCUUACCAAGGCUUUGACGGGUAGCCGGCCUGAGAGGGUGACCGGCCACAUUGGGACUGAGAGACGGACCAGACGCCUACGGGAGGCAGCAGUGGGGAAUAUUGCACAAUGGGCGGAAGCCUGAUGCAGAAACGCCGCGUGCGGGAUGACGGCCUUCGGGUUGUAAACCGCUUUCGCCUGUGACGAAGCGUGAGUGACGGUAAUGGGUAAAGAAGCACCGGCUAACUACGUG